GAUGAACGCUGGCGGCGUGCCUAAUACAUGCAAGUCGAGCGAACGGACGCGAAGCUUGCUUCUCUGAUGUUAGCGGCGGACGAGUGAGUAACAAGUGGUGAACAUACCUCUAAGACCUGGAUAACUACGGGAAACCGGAGCUAAUACCGGAUAAUAUUCUGAACCGCAUGCUUUAAAAGUGAAAGAAGGUCUUGCUGUCAGUGAUAGAUGGAUCCGCGCUGCAUUAGCUUGUUGGUAAGGUAACGGCUUACCAAGGCAACGAUGCAUAGCCGACCUGAGAGGGUGAUCGGCGACACUGGAACUGAGACACGGUCCAGACUCCUACGGGGGGAAGCAGUAGGGAGUCUUCCGCAAUGAGCGAAAGCCGGACGGUGCAGCGCCGCGUGGGUGAGGAAGGUCGUCUGAUCGUAAAACUCUGUUAUUAGGGGUGAACAUAUGUGUAAGUAUCUGUGCAUAUCUUGACGGUACCUAGUCAGAAAGCCACGGCUAACUACGUG
rnacentral:rRNA from 1 species